GCGCUUGUUGUUUAGUGGCAGAAUAGCAGCCUUCCAAUCCCUAACUGCGUCUUCUCGAGACGCAGUUUGCCUGAGAAAGCUGUUGGCCCGGGUUCGAUUCCCGGCGGGCGCA